UUCACUAACUUCUAAAUGUUAUUUACUGUACUCUUAAUGUACAAAGGCUUGAAAUUAUGUACAUCACUUAACAAUUUUUCAAGCGGCGGCGGGCGGGAAGAAAGAUAUUAAUCAUUGACUUCACUCAACUCACUUGCAAGCACUAAUCUGUCAAUUAAAAAGCUUUGACAAUCGAAAAUCAGGUGUUUCAUGUCUGCGUUGCUACAUCCACAGUGCGAACAUUCACUAUUUUGAAUAAUGCCAAGUCUUGCUAGGUGUGACGGUGCAGUAUUAUGGCCAAAACGCAAUCUAUUAAUGGUGGUGAUGUAAUCACGGCUGGCUUGAGGAAGUUUGUUGUACCAAGGUCUUGUUGGUCUGUAAUCAGUGAUAUGAAACUGUCAGUGCAACUACGCCCAAGAUGGAAGCCAUAUUGUACAUUGGGAAUGAUACCAUUAGCCUCAACAAACCAAUCAAGACAAGCUUUAAUCAUGUUUUAAAACAGUUUGCCAAAACAUGAGGAUAAAGAAAUUGGAUGGUAGGAGCUAGCUAAAUCAGGAGAUUUAUCUGGCUUAAGUAUGGGAAUAACACAUUGUGUUUUCCAUGAGUUGGGUAUUAAUUUCUUGUCCCAUAAAGCAUUAAGAAUAUUUAAAAACACUACCUGCACUGAUUCAUGUAGUUUUUUAAUCAAAAUAUAUGGGUAAUCAUCUAAGAUCGUCUAGAUCUCAAACUCAUUGUAAAUUCGGUCCAUGUAAAGUUAUCUAAUAAAUGUUUUGAAUUUC